rnacentral:rRNA from 1 species
AUUGAACGCUGGCGGAAUGCUUUACACAUGCAAGUCGAACGGUAGAGGGGGCAACCCCUCGAGAGUGGCGAACGGGUGAGUAAUAUAUCGGAACGUGCCCAGUCGUGGGGGAUAACGUAGCGAAAGUUACGCUAAUACCGCAUACGAUCUAAGGAUGAAAGCGGGGGAUCGCAAGACCUCGCGCGAUUGGAGCGGCCGAUAUCAGAUUAGGUAGUUGGUGGGGUAAAGGCCGACCAAGCCUGCGAUCUGUAGCUGGUCUGAGAGGACGACCAGCCACACUGGAACUGAGACACGGUCCAGACGCCUACGGGAGGCAGCAGUGGGGAAUUUUGGACAAUGGGCGCAAGCCUGAUCCAGCAAUGCCGCGUGCAGGAUGAAGGCCUUCGGGUUGUAAACUGCUUUUGUACGGAACGAAACGGCUUUUUCUAAUACAGAGAGCUAAUGACGGUACCGUAAGAAUAAGCAUCGGCUAACUACGUGCCAGCCGCCGCCGUAA